CAAGGAGGCAGACUGCUCUGGUUAACGAAAAAAUCAAGAAAGAACAGAGAAGAAUGCUGCUUCUUCCAAAGAGGGAGGUAGGGAAAAAGAAGCUGUUUCCAUUUCCAAACUCAUUAGUUGGGUAAGUCAUUACACUUCUGGGGAGGAGUUAUUGGGGAGGGUAGGAAAAGACAUAUUUGGUUAUCUCCAAGUAGAAACUGAAUGUUUCUUCUUCAGAGAAGAUCCUAGAGUACAAGUCUAGAUAGAAAAAGAAAAACUUUUCCUGUCUGCCUAAGUUCAGCCUUCUGUGGUGAAGUUGGUUUUCCUACUGUGACCUGUGCACUCCGGUCUACCAGCCUGACACUACACGCCAUCUGCUGGUUCCAAACUAUAUAGCUCCAGAGUAACUGCUGACGCUGUUGGGGAACAGAGGACCUGGCCUCCUGAAGAAGCACCAACAGGCCCUCUGCUUCAAGUUGUAGGUGUGAACAAAUCCAGACCACUAAGAGGCCCUCCAGUCCUCCUUGAAUUUGGGUAUGGAUCCUAAGAUUUGCUCCAGUACCUCUGCAGCCAGCACCCAGAGCAGCUAAUGAAAGGAUUCAAGCCGGACGUUCAGGGAUAAGGAGAGACGGCUACAAUGAUACUUCAAAUUGGAGUUAUCCAAAGGCUCAAUGGACUGGAUUCCAAGAUGAUGCCCUCACCUGGCUACGACUGACACAGGAUGUUGUUUAGGAGCUCAGCUGGGGACUGUCAGCUGGGGUAGCUAUCUGUGAUGUCUUCUUGUGUCUAAGCUUUUCAUAGUUUAGUGGCUGGGUCCCUAUGCAAAGUAUCACAAGAGCAAGUGGGAAGUAUCUUUGAAGAUGCAGGAAGUGGAAGCUGCCAGUCCUUUUAAAGACUAGGAACCGUAAUUGAUUUGUGUCACUUCUGCUAUAUUCUGUUGGCAAAGGCAAUCACAGGUCAGCCCAAAUUUUAGCAGAUGGAGGAUAUAGGCUUCACUUGUAUAAGGUAUGAUGUGGUAAUUCAAUAUGUAUGCUGCAUGUAGUGAUCAAAUCAGGGCAAUUAACAUUUCUUUCUCCACAAACAUUUAUUACUUUGCUGUGUUGAGAACCCUUGCACUUCACUCUUCUAUUCUGUAUAAAAUAUAUGGUGAAUUAUUGUGCACUAUACAGAUUUCACUUCUUAGUGGAGGAAUAAGUACAGCAUGGAAGGAGGGAAGGAAAUGAUGGCAGCCUUCUUGGAGAAAGUUACCACAUGAUAUGUCCCCAGACAAAUGUGUAGGUUCAGUGAAGCUCCCACAGGAUGGACUCAGGUUGACUGCCAAUCAAAGAGUUAUGGAGAAAAUAAACCCAUUUGCAAAAAAUAAAAUCAAAUCUUCACUCUCCCCGCUCUCUACCCCAGUAGUGUUCCGCACUCACCAAACACACACCUGGAGGCAGAAUGAGAUGGCUCAGAACUCUAACAAAGCAGCUGGUGGAACUGAGCUGUGGGGUAAGGGCUUAUGUCACUAUUUUAUCCUUUGACUAUUCCCUCAUGCUGGUGUGGCCUAGAAAAUUACCUGUUACAUACAAGUAAAAAUUCAGACUCAGAGGACUAAGAUUUACCAUCAUCAAGACAAUUCAAAAGAGUAUGCUGUAGGUUUGAAGACAAUUUCCAGAGAGACACACAUUCUCAGAAUGUUUCCAGUAAUGACAAAAUCAUUGGAAUAAGCGGCUGACCUCCUCCCUGGGGGACUAUGCUCAUUAAGAUGUAUGUGUUCAGGACUGUUAAAAUUCCAGCUCAUUAUCUAAUAGUUGUACCUUGUGCACUUGGAUACCUCUGAAAAUGCUUCCAGCCCUUCCAUUUCAGUCAUAACAACCAACUGACAGUCUCCUAUACUUUUGAGAGGCUUUAAGGGAAGGUUCUUAUAGCAAAGUUAAAAGUGAAAAGGAAAAACUCAAAAGGAAGUACCACUAUUGAUAACCCUGUCUAUUCAUUUCCCUUGAAGUAAUUUAAGACCAUGAGGAAAGAAUUCUUCCUAGCUUUAGGGUCAGUGCUCAAGUCUUCAUUCAUUCUUUUCUCUCUUUAAUUUGCACAUUCCAGCAGGGAAACUGUAUUCCAAUCUCAAGAACAAUUCCAGAGCCCAAGCCAACUGUGCUGUGGAAGCAAUGUGAAUCAAUAUUCAUUGAUCACUAGCAUUUGUUCUUUGGCCUCUAAUUCAAAUGUCCUUUCCACUAGAAGCCUCCUCUAAACUUUCUUUUCCUGUGGUAGAAUCUAAUCAUUCCCACCACCAUAUUCCCUUUCGGUAAAGCAUUUGACUCUGCAUUUAAUUCUUUUUUCUCCCUUUUUAAUUUAUAACUAAAUUAUGAGCAGCUUGAGAUCAAUUAUCAGUUACAUUCAUGCUUAGGUCUCCAGUACCAAGCACAAAGUCUGGCAUCUGAGGGAGUACUCAAUCAAUGUUUGUUCAAUGAAUAAAUGUGGUAAGAGGUCUUCCAGAAGUAUGCCAAUAGGGUGCACUGGAGAGCCAACGAGUUCAGUUUAAUUAUAUCUAAAAUAAGAGAUAUGUCUCUAAGGAAGUAGCUUCACAAAUAUGAGAGGAUAAAAUACACAUGCAAAUAAAAUCUGGACAUUAAAGAAUAUGGUACAGAGAAGGCACUCUAUUUUAUGAGAUUUGAGUGAGUUACAAAACCAGCUCAGGAUCUAAGGAGCAGAGGGAUCUUUUGUUUAUCCACUCAAGUCUAAAAAUCUAAUGUACAUGUGACAAAAUUAAUAUUGUAUCAUUGUAUUAGUGAUUUUUAUUAUAAAAAUAAAUUGUAGCUACUCUCACAAAAAGUGAACAUAUGAGAUGUCAGAUAUGUUGGUCUACUUUACUAUGGUAGACAUUUUACUAUCUAUAUAUAUUUCCUAACAUCAUAUUGUAAACUUCAAAUACACACAGUGAAAUUUAUUUAAAAACUCAUUUGCUGAUCACCUUCUACAAAUUAUAUACUCCUAAUUCUCAUUUAAGAACUUUCAUGUUUCCUGAAAACACUGCCACUAAACUUAAAAACUUAAAUGUCAAAAUAUUUUUAUUCAUAUUGAAGGAAAAAAUUUGUUGUGUUUCAUGUGUAAGAUACCAAACCUAAGGUAUCGAUUUCCGCAGAUACAAAAAUGUACCAAGUUGAAUGAUGAAAACAAAAGUAUUUGUAAGCAUGCACUAUGUUCAUUGCCUCAUUGUUCACAAUAGCAAAGAUAUAGAAUCAAUUUCAGUAUUUAUCAGUGGAUGAAUAGAUGAAGAAAUAUGACAAAUAUGCACUAUGAAAUACAAUUCAGUUUUUAAAAAGAAGAAAAUCCUGUCGAUUACAGCACCAUGGAUGAAUCUGGGGGACAUUACAUCAAGUGAAAUAAGUCAGAAAGAGCAUGACAAAUGGUUCAUGAUCUCACUCAUGUGUGGAAUCUAAAGUUGAACUCACAGAAGAGUAGAAUUGUGACUACCAGAGCCUGGAGGUAGUACUUGGAGAGAUGUUAGUGAAGGGAUACCAAAAAAUCAGUUAGAUAGGAGGAAUAAAUUUAAGAUAUCUAUUGUAUAAGAUGGAGAAUACAGUUAAUAACAAUGUACAGUAAGUCCCUGACUUACAAACAUUCAAGUUGCAAACUUUCACAGAUAUGAAUGGACCUCACAUUUUGAACAUUCAUAGAUAUGAACAAAUCGUGGAUGUAGCUCAUGUGUCCGCUGGACACUGUCACAAUUGUGCUGCUGUGUGCUUACUGUACAGUGCAAUAGUGGACAGUAGUACAGUGCUGAAUCAGAGCUCAGGAUGUCCAGAAGCAAAAAAAAAAAAAAAACAGUAGUGGUGAUGUGGAGGGGACUGCUAGGAAGGACAAAGCAAUAUACAUAGUACUGCAUAGAGGUGUAUAAGACUCCUGUUGUCUGACUCACAAACAAAUCUUAUGAACAUUCACCCGGAAUGGAGCUUGUUGGUAUGUUGGAGAUUUAACUGUAAUAUAAUCUUGAAAAUACAGUGGUACCUCAGUUCACAAACUUAAUUUGUUCCAUGAUUCUGGAAAAGAUAGCCACAUUCUUGUUAGUACAGGAAACAUGGCCACGGUUGUGUUUGUGCCUGAAAGAUGUGUGGUCAUGUUCAUCACCUGAUGUACAGUUCACAAACAAAAACAAAAAUUUGCGAAAUUGUUCCCAAACAAAAGCAUGUGUGAACCAAGGUACCACUAUAGAUUAUAAGUGUUCUCACCACAUGAACUUAUAAGCAUGAGAGAUGAUGCACAUGGUAAACAGCAAAAUCUAGCUAUUCCGUAAUGUAUAUAUAUUACAAAUAUUAGUUGUAUCUAUUUAUCAUGCUGUAUAAUAAAUAUAUACAAUUGUAAUUUGUUAAUUAAAAUAAAAAUUUUAAAGUAUUUAUAAAUAAUAAAUUUUGAAAAUAAAUAAAUGUGAUGUAAUACAAGG
rnacentral:lncRNA from 1 species